AACGAACGCUGGCGGCAUGCCUAACACAUGCAAGUCGAACGAGAUCUUCGGGUCUAGUGGCGCACGGGUGCGUAACGCGUGGGAAUCUGCCCUUUGGUUCGGAAUAACAGUUGGAAACGACUGCUCAUACCGGAUGAUGACGAAAGUCCAAAGAUUUAUCGCCAGAGGAUGAGCCCGCGUAGGAUUAGCUAGUUGGUGUGGUAAAGGCGCACCAAGGCGACGAUCCUUAGCUGGUCUGAGAGGAUGAUCAGCCACACUGGGACUGAGACACGGCCCAGACUCCUACGGGAGGCAGCAGUGGGGAAUAUUGGACAAUGGGCGAAAGCCUGAUCCAGCAAUGCCGCGUGAGUGAUGAAGGCCUUAGGGUUGUAAGCUCUUUUACCCGGGAUGAUAGUGACAGUACCGGGAGAAUAAGCUCCGGCUAACUCCGUGCCAGCAGCCGCCGCAG
rnacentral:rRNA from 1 species